rnacentral:rRNA from 1 species
GAUGAACGCUGGCGGCGUGCCUAAUACAUGCAAGUCGAGCGAACAGACGAGGCGCUUGCUCCUCUGACGUUAGCGGCGGACGGGUGAGUAACACGUGGAUAACCCACCUAUAAGACUGGGAUAAAUUAGGGAAACCGGAGCUAAUACCGGAUAAUAUAUUGAACCGCAUGGUUCAAUAGUGAAAGACGGUUUUGCUGUCACUUAUAGAUGGAUCCGCGCCGCAUUAGCUAGUUGGUAAGGUAACGGCUUACCAAGGCAACGAUGCGUAGCCGACCUGAGAGGGUGAUCGGCCACACUGGAACUGAGACACGGUCCAGACUCCUACGGGAGGCAGCAGUAGGGAAUAUUCCGCAAUGGGCGAAAGCCUGACGGAGCAACGCCGCGUGAGUGAUGAAGGUCUUCGGAUCGUAAAGCUCUGUUAUUAGGGAAGAACAAAUGUGUAAGUAACUAUGCACGUCUUGACGGUACCUAAUCAGAAAGCCACGGCUAACUACGUG